UGGGGAAUUUUGGACAAUGGGCGAAAGCCUGAUCCAGCAAUGCCGCGUGUGUGAAGAAGGCCUUCGGGUUGUAAAGCACUUUUGUCCGGAAAGAAAUCCUUGGCUCUAAUACAGUCGGGGGAUGACGGUACCGGAAGAAUAAGCACCGGCUAACUACGUGCCAGCAGCCGCGGUAAUACGUAGGGUGCAAGCGUUAAUCGGAAUUACUGGGCGUAAGCGUGCGCAGGCGGUUUGCUAAGACCGAUGUGAAAUCCCCGGGCUCAACCUGGGAACUGCAUUGGUGACUGGCAGGCUAGAGUAUGGCAGAGGGGGGUAGAAUUCCACGUGUAGCAGUGAAAUGCGUAGAGAUGUGGAGGAAUACCGAUGGCGAAGGCAGCCCCCUGGGCCAAUACUGACGCUCAUGCACGAAAGCGUGGGGAGCAAAGCAGGAUUAGAUACCCUGGUAGUCCACGCCCUAAACGAUGUC
rnacentral:rRNA from 1 species